GAUGAACGCUGGCGGCGUGCCUAAUACAUGCAAGUCGAGCGAACAGACGAGGAGCUUGCUCCUCUGACGUUAGCGGCGGACGGGUGAGUAACACGUGGAUAACCUACCUAUAAGACUGGGAUAACUUCGGGAAACCGGAGGUAAUACCGGAUAAUAUAUUGAACCGCAUGGUUCAAUAGUGAAAGACGGUUUUGCUGUCACUUAUAGAUGGAUCCGCGCCGCAUUAGCUAGUUGGUAAGGUAACGGCUUACCAAGGCAACGAUGCGUAGCCGACCUGAGAGGGUGAUCGGCCACACUGGAACUGAGACACGGUCCAGACUCCUACGGGAGGCAGCAGUAGGGAAUCUUCCGCAAUGGGCGAAAGCUUGACGGAGCAACGCCGCGUGAGUGAUGAAGGUCUUCGGAUCGUAAAACUCUGUUAUUAGGGAAGAACAAAUGUGUAAGUAACUAUGCACGUCUUGACGGUACCUAAUCAGAAAGCCACGGCUAACUACGUG
rnacentral:rRNA from 1 species